AGCUGGAAGAGCUUGCCCAGUAUGAAUGCUGUUAAGGGCAUGAUGCUGUACUGAAUCAACACGGCUAUUGCCACACCUUUAGGUCUCCUGAGGACACCGCUCUUAGCCUUCAGCACCUGUUGAAACAGAAAUCUGCGUUUAGAACAAUCAGCUGUGAACCCCAUUCGUUUUGGAAAUAUCCUGUGCAGUUUGUGUAUCUUCUGCUCUGGUCCUCCACUUCUUCCAGCAUCCACCCUCAUAGUGAGACAGCUGGUGAGAGCAAGAGGGAGACAGCUCAAGGUGGAUAGAGAAGACAGGUAAAGAUGGGCACUUCAUACAAAGGAAAAUGAACCAGAGCUCCUCUCAUUCACAAGAUACUGCUGAGGCAAGUACUUGAAAACAUGAUGUAUCCAGGGUACUUUUGUUUUUAAUGAGACUAUAAAAUACUUAUACUUCUGACCAUAAAUAAAGAUUUUGAUAGCGAGGUCUAGGAAGAUAUUACUAUGUGGAUGAGUAAUUUCUCCAGUAAAUUCUUAGGGGCCUUCAUUUCUCUUUUCCUGAUGUGUUAAGUCUGACACUGUCUAUAAAUUUUUGGUUGCAUAUAGGAAUUAAUUCUCCAAGCCUUACCAACACUGAAAAUAUUAUUCCCUCCUUGAUGCUGAGGGAAGGUUCUUCAUGGUAGGUACCUCAACUGACCUCUGCAGAGCAAGGCUGGGCUCAAUGGGCACAGCACUGCUGCAUUCAGGACCUGGGGUGCUCUGCAUUGUGAUCCAACCAGGGCUGCAGACAUCACACAAACUCUCCAAGCAAAGCCAAAGAGGCAGCUGUUCCCCAGCCCAGACUGGAGCCUGCCCUGUGCUUUCAGUACAAGGCUGCACGGCAUGACACACUCAGUGCUCUGGUGUGCAGGGAAGCAGGGCCUGGGCAGCUGGUGCUGGGGCAGGAAGAGGGACUGGAAGAGUGGUUGAUCCUCCAGCUUCUGCAAAAGUGACUGCUGCUCAUCCUGCCACUGCUCCCUGUCCCUGGCUGUAAUGGGGGAUGUGCUUCCCUACACCUGCAAUGCCCUCAGGUGUUGUACUUCCUGAUCCCUCAGCAGGUUUUGCCUUCAUUUAAGGCAUUUAUUGCCUUCAGAUUUACCUGAGCCAUCCCCUAGGGCAAGGAAGGGACUCUAGAAACAGAGCUGAGCAUGUUAAACUAGAGCAAAAUGGAUGCAGUUACCUUAGUGCUGGUGGAUGCAGCUGUAGGAAGCUUUGGCUGAUCAUCCACUGCUCCGUCCUUUCCUGGCUGGCCUCGGGGAGCGGUCGUACUCUUCAGUCCUCCUGCUUCAAGGAAAUCCCCCUUGGUAAAAUCCCAUCCUCUGCUUGCAGGAUAUAAAGCCUGGGUCUAAAAGAGCCUCACAGAGAGGGAAGCUGCAGUUCUUUGGUAGUUGUACUAACGGGACUGGGGAAGGGAUUUUAACCAGGAGAUUUGCUGCACUGUGGCUGAGCUCUAAUUCCUUUGCUGAAGGUUAUUAUGAUGCUGCAGUAGCAUGUCCAUUGCUUCUAUUCAUCUGGGAGCUCAGCAAGCUCAGCCUCUGCAGCCCUAUUGCUCUGGAAACAUUGAUGGAGGCAGGCAGGAAUGUCAGAGCUGUUCUCUGUGUUCCUCCCCACUUGCUCUUGCUUUGGUUGGGAACUUUGUUUUCCAGGCUGGCAGCCAGGCCGGAAAAGCACCAACAACAGUUCAGGAGGCCAGCACAGGCAUCCCCAUCGGGGGGGGGGGGGAAGGAGCAGUGCCUGUGGCUCUCAUUGGCUCUGCACAUCAUGCCCAUGGCUUCUCCUACACCUUUGUGAGCACCAUGCUGCCAUUCUUGGGGACAAGGGGCCCUCCAGUAAGUCACAGGUGAUGCCUUGAGCCCCCUGUGUCACUGUAGUGGCACAGUAGUGCCUCAGCUCGUUGCUGAGCUCUGGCUGAGUGGGUGGGGCUAGGAGGCCUGCAGCACUGUGGGCAUAUUGAUUUUCUGGAGGCAUCUGCAAGACUACCAGGCACAAGCAAAGGCUGCCCAAGCAGCAGAUGGGCAAGAUCCAUAAAAAUUAAGAUAAAGUGCAGGAGCAAAGUCCACAGCAAUUCUUUAUCUCUAUCACUCUCUUCAGGAUUUUUUCCCCUGUGCAUCUUCAGCCUUCCUAAAGAAAUGGUUGUUUUUCACCAUGCUUGCCUUUCAGCUGUGUGCUGAAUUUUAUAAGAAAUGCAGAGUCAAGCCAAGCAAUAAAGUGCUUAUAAAAUGCUGCUGCCUCAGCAGCACCUCCUCUUCCUCUAAACUCUGUGUAGCUCAGGUUUUUAAAAUUACAAUGUUCUAACAGUCUCACCCUUUGCAGGACUGUAGAAGAAUGUUUCAAUGACUCUAAUAAUUAAAAAAUGCCUGCUAGUUGUUCAUUGUUCAAGCAUUCCUACUGGUCCCCAGUAGUUAAUAGAGGCAAUGCCACGGGAGACAAAGAAGACACUGGCUGAAGAAAGCAGAAUAAAUUAAGAUCAUUAUUUCACUCUG